GAUGAACGCUGGCGGCGUGCCUAAUACAUGCAAGUCGAGCGAACGGACGAGAAGCUUGCUUCUCUGAUGUUAGCGGCGGACGGGUGAGUAACACGUGGAUAACCUACCUAUAAGACUGGGAUAACUUCGGGAAACCGGAGCUAAUACCGGAUAAUAUUUUGAACCGCAUGGUUCAAAAGUGAAAGACGGUCUUGCUGUCACUUAUAGAUGGAUCCGCGCUGCAUUAGCUAGUUGGUAAGGUAACGGCUUACCAAGGCAACGAUGCAUAGCCGACCUGAGAGGGUGAUCGGCCCCACUGGAACUGAGACACGGUCCAGACUCCUACGGGAGGCAGCAGUAGGGAAUCUUCCGCAAUGGGCGAAAGCCUGACGGAGCAACGCCGCGUGAGUGAUGAAGGUCUUCGGAUCGUAAAACUCUGUUAUUAGGGAGGAACAUAUGUGUAAGUAACUGUGCACAUCUUGACGGUACCUAAUCAGAAAGCCACGGCUAACUACGUG
rnacentral:rRNA from 1 species